rnacentral:rRNA from 1 species
UACAGAGGAGCCAAGCGUUGUCCGGAUUGACUGGGCGUAAAGCGCACGCAGGCGGUUGCGCGCGUGGGGUGUGAAAUCUGGCCGCUUAACGGCCAGGCGCCAUCCCAUACGGCGCGACUGGAGUGAUGCAGAGGUCGAUGGAAUUGCCGGUGUAGUGGUGAAAUGCGUAGAGAUCGGCAGGAACACCCGUGGCGUAAGCGGCCACCUAGCCCGCACCUGACGCUGAGGCGCGACAGCGUGGGGAGCGAACGGG